AGUGUGACCCACUUGCGCUUGGUACGUUUAGGAAUUGGGCCACGCACAGCUGAUGAGAGUCCUAGUUAUGCAGCCCGAAUUAUUUUGCUUUUAUCCAAAAAAUUGUUCAAUGAAAAUUUGAUUUUAAUUACCGUUUCGGAAUUUCCAGGCCUGCUUUGCUAGCAAUGCGCGAGUCCCACUCUCCACUGAUUUACGAACACUGGAUCCCCACACACGCUACGACUUGCUGGACGAUAUAUUUAAGAUCACGUGGCGAUAGUAAUCGAUAUAUACCAUCAAUAACUAUUUUAGUUGGUUGCGGCCUGCUGGACGAAAUAUUUAAGCAUGUAUGGCGAUAGAAAUCGGUUUAUAACGACAAAAUAUUUACCGCUAUGACUAUGGCUCUCUCUUGGCGCACUUUUCAAUCGAAACAUUUUUGAGGUUUGGGAAGGUGUCAUAUAUAUUUCUUAAUAGACUGAACUAAAUCAACACAA